GGCAGAGGGUUCUUUGCAUUCGGUAUUUAAUACAUUUUGUUGGACUUCCUAAAAACUAAUUGGCUCCUUAUGAUUAAAAAAAAAAGAGUUACAAAAAUACCAAGUGUUCAGAUAAAAUACGCACACUGCUUGGAUGUGCAGAGUUCAGGAAAACAGGCAGUGCUUCAGCGUCGGUGAAGAGCAUUGGGACUGCAUGGAGCACUCGCAACUUUGAGGGCGAGCUCACUCUCUGGCAUCAAGUUCCCCGUGCUCAGUUUCCCUACACAAGAGUCCAAGAGGAGAGGAUACUCGUGACGCAUCCC